UACAGAGACUGCAAGCGUUAUUCGGAUUCACUGGGCGUAAAGGGUGCGCAGGCGGCCAAGUGUGUGAGGCGUGAAAGCCCGGGGCUUAACCCCGGAAUUGCACCUCAAACUAUAUGGCUAGAGCAUUGGAGAGGGUAGCAGAAUUCAUGGUGUAGCAGUGAAAUGCGUAGAUAUCAUGAGGAAUACCAGAGGCGAAGGCGGCUACCUGGACAAUUGCUGACGCUCAGGCACGAAAGCGUGGGGAGCAAAAGGG
rnacentral:rRNA from 1 species